GGGGCUAUAGCUCAGCUGUUAGAGCGCUUUUGCAUAAGAGGUCAGUCUUCGAUCCCGCUUAGCUCCACCA
rnacentral:tRNA from 1 species